rnacentral:tRNA from 1 species
CUAUUAACAUAACAUUUAUAUGUUCAAUAUACAAAGAUA